rnacentral:rRNA from 1 species
GUGAGGAAUUUUCCGCAAUGGGCGAAAGCCUGACGGAGCAAUGCCGCGUGAGGGAUGAAGGCCUAUGGGUUGUAAACUUCUUUUCUUAGAGAAGAAUAUUGACGGUAUCUGAGGAAUAAGCAUCGGCUAACUCUGUGCCAGCAGCCGCGGUAAGACAGAGGAUGCAAGCGUUAUCCGGAAUGAUUGGGCGUAAAGCGUCUGUAGGUGGCUUCAAAAGUCUCCUGUCAAAGAUCAGGGCUUAACCCUGGGCCGGCAGGAGAAACUCUGAGGCUAGAGUUUGGUAGGGGCAGAGGGAAUGCCCGGUGGAGCGGUGAAAUGCGUAGAGAUCGGGAGGAACACCAAAGGCGAAAGCACUCUGCUGGGCCACAACUGACACUGAGAGACGAAAGCGAGGGGAGCAAAAGGGAUUAGAAACCCUAGUAGUCC